GGGGUGAACUUGGCAUCCCUGCUCAAUAAUAGUCUGUGAGAAUCUAAUGGAAGAAAAAAUUGUCAAGUCUAUUAAGAUGCGGUCAGAGCGUAAGUCAAUUAAUGAAAAUUACAGCUACCCAGGCUAUUAAAUUAACAUGAGAUUGUCAAUAGGAAAUAUAGAUCGCUUUUGAAUAAUUUUAAAUUAUUUAAAACAUGGUAAUAAUGAAAAUCUCACAGUGUCCAUGAUGCAAGUUUAGUUUUGAUUUUAUUACUGUUUGAGUUGUGUUUUACAUUUUCUUGUUUCACCUUCAUGAUUGUUAAAGGAACAGGAGCGUUAAAGAGCAAGACAUUCUGAAGCAGGAAUGCCAAAAUGUGCUAUGAGGCAAAAGCUUAGAGGUGGCUGGAAAUGAGCUGUCAUUCUGCAGUGUGAUCCAUAGCAGAGCUGGAAUCAGGUAAAGCCAUGGGUGUCUAAAUGCAGCCCUUGCAUGCAAAAUGAUAGAUCAAUUUUUUUAGCCACUGAUUGUGUCCAUCUCACCCAUUCAGGUGAUCAGGACUAGAUGGCCUCUACUGCUUCAAUUAUGUUGGCCAUUAAUGACAAUACUUCUCACAAGCAAGCUGGGCUGCUGUGCCUGAUACUCCUAUAGCUCUCACCACGUGUGGCCGCUGCCACUUGAGCUGUGGCCUCCAGAGAACUGCACAGAAGAUCCUGUUUAAGAAAGUGAGCAAGUCUGGACUUCGUGUGUUUUCUUGCAAUAUUGUCCUGGACAGUUUCCAAUCUGUUAAUGAAAGAACACCGACAUCUAAACCAUCCCCAGGGGAAGUUAAAGAUCCAUCUGAGUUCAGUAAGAGGUUCCUAAAUAGCUGUAACAAGCCCAUACUUCAAAAGAAAUACAUUUUGCUAUUUUUAAAAUAUGUGAAUUUUGGAAGGCUUUGAAUAUCAAGAUUAAUUCUCUGUCUAAAUGCAAUAGAAAGCAGCACUGACUGGUGAGCCUCACUCAAAUCUGGGUUUAAUAUUGUCUGGAUUUGGUGUUCUAAAAGCUUAAGGUAUGACAGUGUUUAGUUUACUUUUUUCCCCAGAGCACACUGUGCAUGUACUUACGGAUUCCUUGGUAUAUCUCACUGGAUUAACGUGAAAAAUAUAUUACAUUAUCUAUCAGCACUUGAAAUUUUGACUCGAGGAUUCUGGUUGGAUAGAUUACUGAGCAGUGUUUAAUUGAAAGAUUUAAUGAUCCCCUGAACAAGAUGAUGACUCACUCUUGGACAAGAGGGAACAGCUCCCACAGAGGAGAAAACAACCCCAAGGUGAUAAGGAGCCAGUUGUUGCUGCACAGCGUGGUGCUGUUUGCAGCCGGCAGCAAUUUAAGAGGGCUGUGGAAGCUGAGCAGAAAGGGCCGGGGCAGCUGAGCAGGUUUGGACACUGGAUUAUGCACCAGGUCACUAAAAUUACAAAGUGAAGCUGUGUAUUCUCAGUGUCUUGCAUUAGACACCUACCUUGGAUGUCCGAGCUAAGAGGCUGCUCUGCUCUCCACUAUGGUUACCGAGAGUCCUGUUCUGAACUGCCCUUUGGAGGUGCCUGUCCCUUGUCAUUGCCUAUAAUGGGUAGUCUAAGGAGCCCAGACUCCCUAUUUAGCCACCUGAGUGAUUAGCACAGUAAGAUGUAAUUUAAUAAGUCUCUGUGCUGAGGCCUUCAUCCUAAAGUGCUGUACAGUUAAUAUUACCAGACAGAAGGAGAUUGCAAAGUCCAGAACAAGAAUUCAGCUGUGGAGACACUGAGAACACUUGGUUUCAGAGGCUGGGUCCAAAUCAGCUAGAAAAAUGGGCCAGGAUGGAGCUGCCACUGGUGGUUUUUUGGUUGUAGGGAGAGAAGGGAAGGAUUGAAUCUUGGCUGUGAUUAUUUUGUGUGAAUGGAAUUAUGGGGGGGUCGAUCUCUUCUC
rnacentral:lncRNA from 1 species